AAAACCUCGCAAGGGGUUAGUAGAGUGGCGAACGGGUGAGUAACACGUGGGUGACCUGCCUUCGAAUGGGGGAUAACGUCCCGAAAGGGACGCUAAUACCGCAUAACAUCCUGCCUUUGAACAGGUGGAGAUCAAAGCCGGGGAUCGCAAGACCUGGCGUUUGAAGAGGGGCCCGCGUCUGAUUAGCUAGUUGGUGAGGUAACGGCUCACCAAGGCGACGAUCAGUAUCCGGCCUGAGAGGGCGGACGGACACACUGGGACUGAGACACGGCCCAGACUCCUACGGGAGGCAGCAGUGGGGAAUUGUUCGCAAUGGGCGCAAGCCUGACGACGCAACGCCGCGUGGAGGAUGAAGGUCUUCGGAUUGUAAACUCCUGUUGCCCGGGACGAAACGUUUCGACCUAACACGUCGAGACCUGACGGUACCGGGUGAGGAAGCCCCGGCUAACUCUGUGCCAGCAGCCGCGGUAAUACAGAGGGGGCAAGCGUUGUUCGGAAUUACUGGGCGUAAAGGGCGCGUAGGCGGCCUUCUAAGUCGAACGUGAAAUCCCCGGGCUCAACCCGGGAACUGCGUCCGAUACUGGAAGGCUUGAAUCCGGGAGAGGGAUGCGGAAUUCCAGGUGUAGCGGUGAAAUGCGUAGAUAUCUGGAGGAACACCGGUGGCGAAGGCGGCAUCCUGGACCGGCAUUGACGCUGAGGCGCGAAAGCCAGGGGAGCAAACGGGAUUAGAUACCCCGGUAGUCCUGGCCCUAAACGAUGAAUGCUUGGUGUGGCGGGUAUCGAUCCCUGCCGUGCCGAAGCUGACGCA
rnacentral:rRNA from 1 species